rnacentral:rRNA from 1 species
AUUGAACGCUAGCGGGAUGCUUUACACAUGCAAGUCGAACGGCAGCACGAGGAGCUUGCUCCUCGGUGGCGAGUGGCGGACGGGUGAGUAAUAUAUCGGAAUGUGCCCAGUAGCGGGGGGAUAACUACUCGAAAGAGUGGCUAAUACCGCAUACGCCUACGGGGAAGGGGGGAGUCUUCGGACCUCUCACUAUUGGAGCAGCCGAUAUCAGAUUAGCUAGUUGGUGGGG